AAAUUGAAGAGUUUGAUCAUGGCUCAGAUUGAACGCUGGCGGCAGGCCUAACACAUGCAAGUCGAACGGUAACAGGAAGCAGCUUGCUGCUUUGCUGACGAGUGGCGGACGGGUGAGUAAUGUCUGGGAAACUGCCUGAUGGAGGGGGAUAACUACUGGAAACGGUGGCUAAUACCGCAUAACGUCGCAAGACCAAAGAGGGGGACCUUCGGGCCUCUUGCCAUCAGAUGUGCCCAGAUGGGAUUAGCUUGUUGGUGAGGUAACGGCUCACCAAGGCGACGAUCCCUAGCUGGUCUGAGAGGAUGACCAGCCACACUGGAACUGAGACACGGUCCAGACUCCUACGGGAGGCAGCAGUGGGGAAUAUUGCACAAUGGGCGCAAGCCUGAUGCAGCCAUGCCGCGUGUAUGAAGAAGGCCUUCGGGUUGUAAAGUACUUUCAGCGGGGAGGAAGGUGUUGUGGUUAAUAACCGCAGCAAUUGACGUUACCCGCAGAAGAAGCACCGGCUAACUCCGUGCGUGCCAGCAGCCGCGGUAAUACGGAGGGUGCAAGCGUUAAUCGGAAUUACUGGGCGUAAAGCGCACGCAGGCGGUCUGUCAAGUCGGAUGUGAAAUCCCCGGGCUCAACCUGGGAACUGCAUUCGAAACUGGCAGGCUUGAGUCUUGUAGAGGGGGGUAGAAUUCCAGGUGUAGCGGUGAAAUGCGUAGAGAUCUGGAGGAAUACCGGUGGCGAAGGCGGCCCCCUGGACAAAGACUGACGCUCAGGUGCGAAAGCGUGGGGAGCAAACAGGAUUAGAUACCCUGGUAGUCCACGCCGUAAACGAUGUCUACUUGGAGGUUGUGCCCUUGAGGCGUGGCUUCCGGAGCUAACGCGUUAAGUAGACCGCCUGGGGAGUACGGCCGCAAGGUUAAAACUCAAAUGAAUUGACGGGGGCCCGCACAAGCGGUGGAGCAUGUGGUUUAAUUCGAUGCAACGCGAAGAACCUUACCUGGUCUUGACAUCCACGGAAGUUUUAGAGAUGAGAAUGUGCCUUCGGGAACCGUGAGACAGGUGCUGCAUGGCUGUCGUCAGCUCGUGUUGUGAAAUGUUGGGUUAAGUCCCGCAACGAGCGCAACCCUUAUCCUUUGUUGCCAGCGAUUAGGUCGGGAACUCAAAGGAGACUGCCAGUGAUAAACUGGAGGAAGGUGGGGAUGACGUCAAGUCAUCAUGGCCCUUACGACCAGGGCUACACACGUGCUACAAUGGCGCAUACAAAGAGAAGCGACCUCGCGAGAGCAAGCGGACCUCAUAAAGUGCGUCGUAGUCCGGAUUGGAGUCUGCAACUCGACUCCAUGAAGUCGGAAUCGCUAGUAAUCGUGGAUCAGAAUGCCACGGUGAAUACGUUCCCGGGCCUUGUACACACCGCCCGUCACACCAUGGGAGUGGGUUGCAAAAGAAGUAGGUAGCUUAACCUUCGGGAGGGCGCUUACCACUUUGUGAUUCAUGACUGGGGUGAAGUCGUAACAAGGUAACCGUAGGGGAACCUGCGGUUGGAUCACCUCCUUA
rnacentral:rRNA from 1 species